UUUAUUGGUUAGAAUAUACAUUGUAUAAUAUUGAAUAGCAUCUUACAGCAAAUCGUAAAAUCGAUAUGUUUCGUUUUGUCACCUAGAAAAGUAGGCCCCAGCCCCCGACUGGUAAUUCGAACGUCGUUGGCCAUUUUCUUUUUUCUAAUCGCUGCAGACAUGAGCGUCCGACUCCUCUGCCGCAUUUCGGUUCCUUGCAGCGCUGCCCGGCGUGUCCGGUCUUUCCAUGUCGGCUGGGUAUGCUCUGAGCCUGUCCGAGCUAUCAUUAUGGGGCCCCCAGGUUCAGGUAAAGGCACCGUCUCCGAAAGAAUCGUGCGAGAUUUUGGAGUAGAACACUUAUCAAGCGGUGAGUUGUUGCGGCAUCAUGUUCAGAAUCACACGGAUCUCGGCGAAGAAGCGCAGGCAUACAUUCUGAAGGGAGAACUCGUCCCUGACGAGUUGAUGGUGGAUCUUAUUCUACAUGAGCUGGACGCCAAAAAGGGGAACUGGCUUUUGGAUGGUUUCCCUAGGACUGUAGGGCAAGCGGAGACACUCUCUGAGAAGCACAAAAUAGAUGUUGUCGUAAACAUGGAUGUUCCCUUUGCCACCAUUGUAGACAGGAUCAAGCAAAGAUGGGUUCAUGCUGUGAGUGGCCGUGUUUACAACCUGGAAUUCAACCCACCUAAAGUUGAGGGAAAAGAUGAUAUCACCGGAGAACCUCUAACUCAACGUGAGGAUGAUAAGCCUGAAACUGUGAUGGCUAGGCUUAAGAAAUAUGAAGAACAAACAAAACCACUUAUUGAAUAUUAUAAAAUUUGAGGGGCAGGCUUAAAGCUGAAAACAAUGCGCCUGAUUGCUGCCAGCCUUGAAAAUACGCAGCUCGCAACUAGAAACAAAAAAGGGGUCUUAGCAUCUUUCUCUGGAACAGAGACGAACGUCAUCUGGCCCAGAGUGAAGAAGUAUUUGCAAGAAAACCACUAUAAGCUGUAGAAGAACUGCCAAAACCCUCGUCUUCAUUUGUGUGUUUUGUAAUAUAGUACCUGUAUGUAAAUUGGCAUAGUCGAUAAUCUAAAUACGUAGUGUGAAAUUAGAACUUGGAAAUUACACCUCAAAAGAAAUUGAAAAUUCCAUAAAAUAAUAGAAAAUAAUUGUAAUACUAUGAAAAUGACCUAGUACGUUAUAGUACACUUAUCUACUCUUAAUUGAAUUCUGAAUAAUAAUGCAAAAUAAUGAUUUAAGACUAGGUAGUUUCUUAUAAUUCUGAAUGAAAAUAAAGUGUGAAUACCUUA